rnacentral:tRNA from 5 species
GCGGGCGUGGCGGAACUGGUAGACGCGCCAGACUCAAAAUCUGGUUCUGGAAACAGAGUGUCGGUUCGAUUCCGACCGCCCGCACCA